GACGUAGGGGGCCAGCGUUGUUCGGAAUUACUGGGUGUAAAGGGUUCGUAGGCGGUGCGGCAAGUUGGGAGUGAAAUCUCUGGGCUUAACCCAGAGGCUGCUUCCAAAACUGCUGUGCUUGAGUGUGGGAGAGGCGCGUGGAAUUGCAGGUGUAGCGGUGAAAUGCGUAGAUAUCUGCAGGAACACCCGUGGCGAAAGCGGCGCGCUGGACCACUACUGACGCUGAGGAACGAAAGCUAGGGUAGCAAACGGG
rnacentral:rRNA from 1 species